AGAAUCAACGCUGGCGGCGUGCCUAACACAUGCAAGUCGCACGAGAAAGGGGAGCAAUCCCUGAGUAAAGUGGCGCACGGGUGAGUAACACGUGAAUGAUCUACCUCCGAGUGGGGAAUAACUGAGAGAAAUCUUAGCUAAUACCGCAUAAUACCCACGGGUCAAAGCAGCAAUGCGCUUGGAGAGGAGUUCGCGGCCGAUUAGCUAGUUGGCGGGGUAAUGGCCCACCAAGGCGAUGAUCGGUAUCCGGCCUGAGAGGGCGCACGGACACACUGGAACUGAAACACGGUCCAGACUCCUACGGAGGCAGCAGUGGGGAAUUUUGCGCAAUGGGGGAAACCCUGACGCAGCAACGCCGCGUGGAGGAUGAAGCCCCUUGGGGUGUAAACUCCUUUCGAUCGGGAAGAUAAUGACGGUACCGAUAUAAGAAGCCCGGCUAACUUCGUGCCAGCAGCCGC
rnacentral:rRNA from 1 species